UACGGAAGGGGCAAGCGUUGUUCGGAAUCAUUGGGCGUAAAGGGCGCGUAGGUGGUUCUGUAUGUCUACCGUGAAAGCGUACGGCUCAACCGUAUUUUUGUCGGUAGAAAACUGCAGGACUUGAGGCUGGGAGGGGCUGGUGGAAUUCCCUGUGUAGCGGUGAAAAUGCGUAGAGAUGGGGGGAGAACACUCGUGGCGAAGGCGGCCAGCUAGACCAGUUCUGACACUGAGGCGCGACAGCGUGGGGGAGCAAACAGG
rnacentral:rRNA from 1 species